rnacentral:rRNA from 1 species
AUACGUAGGGGGCGAGCGUUGUCCGGAAUGAUUGGGCGUAAAGGGCGCGUAGGCGGCCCGGUAAGUCUGGAGUGAAAGUCCUGUUUUUAAGAUGGGAAUUGCUUUGGAUACUGUCGGGCUUGAGUGCAGGAGAGGUAAGUGGAAUUCCCAGUGUAGCGGUGAAAUGCGUAGAGAUUGGGAGGAACACCAGUGGCGAAGGCGACUUACUGGACUGUAACUGACGCUGAGGCGCGAAAGUGUGGGGAGCAAACAGGAUUAGAUACCCUGGUAGUCCACACUGUAAACGAUGAAUGCUAGGUGUAGGGGGUAUCGACCCCUUCUGUGCCGCAGUCAACACAAUAAGCAUUCCGCCUGGGGAGUACGGCCGCAAGGUUGAAACUCAAAGGAAUUGGCGGGG